GACGAACGCUGGCGGCGUGCUUAACACAUGCAAGUCGAACGGAAAGGCCCUGCUUUUGUGGGGUGCUCGAGGGGGGAACGGGGGAGUAACACGUGAGUAACCUGCCCUUGUCUUUGGGAUAACUUCAGGAAACUGGGGCUAAUACCGGAUAGGAGCUCCUGCUGCAUGGUGGGCAUUGGAAAGUUUCGGCGGUUGGGGAUGGACUCGCGGCUUACGAGCUUGUUGGUGGGGUAGUGGCUUACCAAGGCUUUGACGGGUAGCCCGCCUGAGAGGGUGACCGGCGUCCAUGGGCCUGCGGUACGGCCCAGACUGCUACGUGAGGCAGCGGUCGGGAGUAUGGCACAGUGGGCGCAAGUGUGUUACGGCAGCCUUCGGUUCGUGAUGACCGCUUUCGGGGUGUGAACAGCUUUAGCCUGUGACGAAGCUGGAGUGACGGUAAUGGAUAAAGAAGCACCGGCUAACUACGUG
rnacentral:rRNA from 1 species